rnacentral:rRNA from 1 species
CGCCCGCCGCGCGCGGCGGGCUACGGGAGGCAGCAGUGGGGAAUCUUCCGCAAUGGACGAAAGUCUGACGGAGCAACGCCGCGUGAGUGAAGAAGGUUUUCGGAUCGUAAAGCUCUGUGUUUGAGACGAACGUGCGAUUUUGAAUAAGGAAUGUAAUGACGGUAUUAAACGAGAAAGCUACGGCUAACUACGUGCCAGCAGCCGCGGUAAUA